rnacentral:rRNA from 1 species
GAUGAACGCUGGCGGCGUGCUUAACACAUGCAAGUCGAACGGAAAGGCCCAAGCUUGCUUGGGUACUCGAGUGGCGAACGGGUGAGUAACACGUGGGUGAUCUGCCCUGCACUUCGGGAUAAGCCUGGGAAACUGGGUCUAAUACCGGAUAGGACGAUGGUUUGGAUGCCAUUGUGGAAAGUUUUUUCGGUGUGGGAUGAGCUCGCGGCCUAUCAGCUUGUUGGUGGGGUAAUGGCCUACCAAGGCGUCGACGGGUAGCCGGCCUGAGAGGGUGUACGGCCACAUUGGGACUGAGAUACGGCCCAGACUCCGACGGGAGGCAGCAGUGGGGAAUAUUGCACAAUGGGCGCAAGCCUGAUGCAGCGACGCCGCGUGGGGGAUGACGGCCUUCGGGUUGUAAACUCCUUUCGCUAGGGACGAAGCGUUUUUGUGACGGUACCUGGAGAAGGAGCACCGGCUAACUACGUG